UACGGGAGGCAGCAGUGGGGAAUAUUGCACAAUGGGCGCAAGCCUGAUGCAGCCAUGCCGCGUGUAUGAAGAAGGCCUUCGGGUUGUAAAGUACUUUCAGUCGUGAGGAAGGUGUUAAGGUUAAUAACCUUAGCAAUUGACGUUAGCGACAGAAGAAGCACCGGCUAACUCCGUGCCAGCAGCCGCGGUAAUACGGAGGGUGCGAGCGUUAAUCGGAAUUACUGGGCGUAAAGGGCACGCAGGCGGUUAAUUAAGUUGGAUGUGAAAUCCCCGGGCUUAACCUGGGAAUGGCAUUCAAGACUGGUUAGCUAGAGUCUUGUAGAGGGGGUAGAAUUCCAUGUGUAGCGGUGAAAUGCGUAGAGAUGUGGAGGAAUACCGGUGGCGAAGGCGGCCCCUGGGACAAAGACUGACGCUCAUGUGCGAAAAGCGUGGGGAGCAAAACAGGGAUUAGAUACC
rnacentral:rRNA from 1 species